CAGGGCUACACAGAUAUGCAGGUAAAACACUCGUACAUGCAGAGUAAAUAACUGACCAGUGUGUUUUUUAAAAGAACAGGGUACAGCUGGAUAGUAGAGCCUUCAUGGCCCAUGAAGUUCCAGGCCCCGAGUUUGCUCCCCAACAUCACAAAGGGGUGCGGGCCACAGGUAGGCUGCGCUCCAGGCAGCAGACAGGGAUGCAGAUUUGCCAUCUAAACCUGAUGAUUUAGAACUGAGAUCCUGGCUACAGCCAGGCAGAGCCCAGCACCUCAGCCUCCCUGACAGUCCCGGGGACUGCUAUCCUUAUCCUGGCCCCCUGCCUGAGAGAGAUCAUAACAGUAAGGUAACCGUGCAGAGGGACAGGCCAGGUGGCCCCGAAGGCUGUGUCCAGCAGUCACAUACCCACCCCUUCCUCAAUACAUGAUCCCCAGCACUUACCUGGAUUCUGCCACUUGCCGCUAUGGACAUGAAGUUUUACUGUUCUGUGCCUCUGUGUCCCCACAUGUAAGUGGGGAUAGGAACCAUACCUACUUCCAUGUAUUAUAAGGCUAGACCACAGGCAAGUAGUAUAAGGCUAGACCACAGGCAAGUAGUAUAAGGCUAGACCACAGGCAAGUAUGGGCAGAUGACUAGAGGUGGGAGACAGUGAAAGAGUAGGCUCAUCCCCAGUAACAAGAACAAAAGCAAGCCAGGUAUAGUGGUGCCGGCCUUUAAUCACAGUACUCAGCAGGCAAACAGAGCUCUGUGAGUUCAAGGCCAGACUGGUCUAUACAGUAAGUUCCAGUUAGCCAGGGCUGCAUAGUGAGACCUAUUACCAAAAAAAAAAAAAAAAAAAAAAAAAAAAAAAAAAAAAAAUGGGGGGAGGAGAGGAAACUAAAGGCAAUGAGCUCUCAGCUUCAUUAUGAUUGUGAUGGCUAGCUACACUCUCACAGCUGAGGUAAGUGUCCCCAGCUGUUGAAACAUACUCAUCUGUCACUAUCAAUAGCACCGGGAAGGUGCUAAGACCUGAACUUGACCAAACAGAUUUCCCACCCAGCCAGACCUGCCAGUCAAAGGGCAGGGCGCCCAACCAAGGCCAACAAACUUAUCACAACUAGAAGUCUCUUUCUGGCCCUAUCCAGGCCACUCACUCCUCUCUCCACUUGGAGUCAGUGAAGCAAGGCUCUGCCAUACUCUGUGGCCACUAAGUUGUCCCUGGCAUAACUGACCUAACACAUUGUGGCCAUCAGCUCAGCCUCUCCCGGGACCCUUUGGUCUCAGCUUCCCUCCUCCACAGAGAGGCACCUUCUCUUCAGGUCUUCCCUGCUCUGCCUGACUCCCAAGCACUGAGGAGCGGAAAUGUAUCGAGGUGCUCAUUCCAGCUGCUGUGCGCUGCCUGGCACCGAGCUAAGGCCCAGUGUGAGCACCUGAUGCUCACCCGAGUGUGCUCACCCGAGGACCGAAGCUUGGAAGAAGCAACCCUAUGACACAGAUACGGUUGUCGCUGGGACUCAUCAGUAUGCAAUCAGGAGCAGGCCGUGCUGGAGGGAGCUGACUGCAGCUCCAGCCCCUUUUCAAGGUGGGAACGCCCCACAGUGGCCAGCUGAGCUGUCCACCUGACGUCGCUGAAAACAGAAUGCGAGUCAAUACGCACUACUCUUGCACGCCCAGUGUGUCACUGCAGGGUGUGAAGUCUACAGAGUUAAACCCUGUGAGGGCUAGCCAAAGAGCUAGCUGGGUUUAGUCAGGCAUGGUGGUGCUUGCCUUUAAUCCCAGCACUUGUGGGGGGCAGAGACCUCUGAGUUCAAAGACAGCCUUGUCUACAGAGCGAGUUCUAGGAUUGCCAAGAUUACAGAGAAACCCUGUCUUGGAAAAACAACCCCCCCCAAAAAAAAAAGAGAGAGAAAGAAAGAAUAUUAGCUGAGUUUAGAGCACGGGAUGCUCCUCCAGAGUUCAAUUCCCAGAACCCACACGUCCCCACACAACUCUUAACUCCAAGUACAGGGAAUCUGAUGACGUCUUCUGGCCUCCAAAGGCACCAGAAACUCGGAUGGUGCACAGAUAUAUAUAUAUAGAUAGAUAUAGAUAUAUAUAUAGAUAGAUAUAUAGAUAUAUAGAUAUAUAGAUAUGUCUAUAUAUAGAUAUAUAUAUAUGCAGGCAAAACACCUAUGCCUAUAUGCAUAAAAUACAAUAAAAGUAAAAGAUUGUGCCACCCCUGCCAGUGGCGGAGAAGGAUCCCAUUCUGCUGCAAACCCUGCAAGCUGUAUUCCUAGGACGGGGAAUCGGUGCAAACACAGAGAGUGAAAGCGAGGGACUGGCCUUGGGCGAGGAGCCCUGGGCCAGGGUCAGCUCCCAUCUGCACAGUGCCGACAACCUCUGCCCCAGUGUGCCGUGCAGCUUAAGGAUUCUGCAGGGAAAGGUGCAAACUGAGCCUCCACUCGCCCAGGGCACAAGCCUAAGCCAUGAUCAUGGUCUGAAGCAUGCGGUCAGGAGAGGUGUGGAGUGCACAGAGCAGCCAGACCCAGUGCACACACCUGCACCAGCACAUAAAAGGAACCUAAAGAGAAGUUGGCCAGGCGUGGCAGCUCACGACUUUAAUCCUAGCAUUUGAAAGGCAGGAGCAGGGCAGAUCUCUCUCUUUUUUUUUUUUUUAAAGAUUUAUUUAUUUGUUUCAUGUAUGUGGGUACACUGUUGCUAUCUUUAGACACACCAGAAGAGGGCAUCGGAUGCCCAUUAUGGAUGGUUGUGAGCCACCAUGUGGUUGCUGGGAAUUGAACUCAGGACCUCUUGGAGAGCAGUCAGUGCUCUUAACCCCUGAGCCAUCUCUCCAGCCCCAAUAUCAGGCAUCUCUGUUUAUUGUUCUACACUUGUAAUUUUUUUUUAAAGAUUUUUUAUUUUAUGUAUAUGACUACACUGUUCCUCUGAGGGCAUCAGAUCCCAUUACAGAUGGUUGUGAGCCACCAUGUGGUUGCUGGGAAUUGAACUCAGGACCUCUGGAAGAGCAGUCAGUGCUCUUAACCACUGAGCCAUCUCCUCAGCCCUCAGAUCUCUCUUGAGUUCUAGGACUGGGCUCUCUAAAAACUUUCUCAAAAAAAAAAAAAAAAAAAAAAAAAAACAA